AGCGGCGGACGGGUGAGUAACACGUGGGUAACCUGCCUCAUAGAGAGGGAUAGCCUUCCGAAAGGAAGAUUAAUACCUCAUAAGAUUGUAGUUUCGCAUGAAACGGCAAUAAAAGGAGCAAUCCGCUAUGAGAUGGACCCGCGUCGCAUUAGCUAGUUGGUAAGGUAAUGGCUUACCAAGGCGACGAUGCGUAGCCGACCUGAGAGGGUGAUCGGCCACAUUGGGACUGAGACACGGCCCAGACUCCUACGGGAGGCAGCAGUGGGGAAUAUUGCACAAUGGGGGAAACCCUGAUGCAGCAACGCCGCGUGAGUGAUGACGGUCUUCGGAUUGUAAAACUCUGUCUUUGGGGACGAUAAUGACGGUACCCAAGGAGGAAGCCACGGCUAACUACGUGCCAGCAGCCGCGGUAAUACGUAGGUGGCAAGCGUUGUCCGGAUUUACUGGGCGUAAAGGGAGCGUAGGUGGAUAUCUAAGUGGGAUGUGAAAUACUCGGGCUUAACCUGAGUGCUGCAUUCCAAACUGGAUAUCUAGAGUGCAGGAGAGGAAAGUGGAAUUCCUAGUGUAGCGGUGAAAUGCGUAGAUAUUAGGAAGAACACCGGUGGCGAAGGCGACUUUCUGGACUGUAACUGACACUGAGGCUCGAAAGCGUGGGGAGCGAACAGGAUUAGAUACCCUGGUAGUCCACGCCGUAAACGAU
rnacentral:rRNA from 1 species